GAAGUUGGUCGGAUGGUCGCUGGUAGGUUUUACCUAUCAGAGGAAAGUCCGGGCUCCAUAGAGCAAAGUGCUAGUUAACGGCUAGGUAUGGCGACAUAACGGAAAGUGCUGCAGAAAAUAAACUACCCAAUUAUUGGGAAAAGGUGAGAAGGUGCGGUAAGAGCGCACCGCGCGGAAGGUAACAACCGUGGCAAGGUAAACCCCACUUGGAGCAAGCUCAAAUAGGCUACCCAUGGUGUGGCUCGCACAAGGUAGCGGGUAGAGUGCUAAAGAAUUUUGGUGACAAAAUUUGUAGAUGAAUGACCGUUUAUUACAGAACCCGGCUUAUAGACUAACUUCCCUU
rfam:Bathymodiolus thermophilus thioautotrophic gill symbiont strain BAT/CrabSpa'14 BATSymA_Scaffold17, whole genome shotgun sequence.